ensembl:lncRNA
GACAGCGUAUGUAAAAACAUUUAUUGGUUGAGGACGUAUUAUAGUUGACAUGGCCUUUCUACCAGGCUUGGUGGUUAAUAUUAACAGUACAGCUUCCUACUUCCUCUACUCUUUAGUCUCAGACAUGGAGCUUCAACAUUCAACAAAAAAAAAAAAAUUGAAAUAAUCUUUACAUUUCCUUGACACACACAGGUGUGUGUGUGACGGUGUGGAAUGUGUGUGAGGGUUAAACAUGAUGAGAUGGUCAACUAUAACAAUAUACAUGAUUAAGAUCAGAUUAUGGACAGAGCAGAGCACAGAGCCAGGUUACUAUAGCCUGGGUUACACCCUAUGGGCCCUGGUCAACAGGAAGCACACCAUAUAAGGAACAGGGAACCAUUUGGGAUUCAGACAUUAUAGUUAAGCAGACAGCAUCACUCCAAAUAACCUUAGUCAGCCAAUCACAUCGCUCUAUCCCACCCACAGAAUCAAGACUGACUAACUGGCUGGUUCACCAGAUGUGAUUAAGAAACUAAACAUGAGCAUCGUAUUGGUCCAGACAAACCACAUGAUCUCAACAUGAGGACUUCCUACUCCAGAUUACCACAUUAACAACACAUAGGACCAGUUUCCUGGACACAGAUUCAGCAGUUUUGGUCCAGUAGGAUUCAUGUGAGUCCAGGAAGCCAGCCUGUAAUUAAGCAAUAAGGCACAGCCCCCCUGUAGUGCCAAUAUACCACAGCUAAGGGUUGUUCUUAGGCACGACGCAGCGUGGAGUGCCUUGACACAGCCCUUAGCCGUGGUAUAUUAGCUAUAUAAACCCCCAAGGUGCCUUAUUGCUAUUAGAAACUGGUUACCAAUGUAAUUAGAGCAGUAAAAAUUAAAUGUUUUGUCAUACCCGUGGUAUACGGUCUGAUGUACCACGGCUGUCAGCCAAUCAGCAUUCAGGGCUUGAACCACCCAGUUUGUAAUUCUCUAUAAAAGGCUGUAUUUAGUCUGUUUUACAGCAGGCUAGUGUUCUCAGGAGAAUCCAGCUGAGUUUAAACACAGCAUGCUGUUUUCUUCCAUAGUGAGUAGCAUGCCAGGGCCAGGAGCCGCUUCCAGGAGCCGCUUCCAGGAGCCGCUUCCAGGCCACUCAGUGUGUGGUGUGUUGCUCUCUCCUGCGUCUCUCCCAUUACCAUGACAUUCCUUCACACAGACACUGCCCCACUGACGGCCAUCUUUGCUUGUUCCAUCGCCAUAAGCAACAACAGCCCAGCAGAGAGAAGGAACACAGUGCACAUCAAAAAUGAUGACAUUGUACACAUGACACUGUGCACAUCAAAUUAAAAAAAGUGUAAUGAACCCAGAUGUUUUCAGUCUAAUCUAACCUACUCUCUGACAGGAUAUGUGUAAUCUAAAGAGAAUAUAGUGACAUGGAGUUGCAUCUCCUCCAGUAUGUAUGUAAGCGCUGCACAUUAGUCUUUGGCAUGGUUCAGUAUCGGAGAAGCCCAUUGGUUGAGCUGACGUUCACGCCAGACCAAUAACAGGAGAACAGAAGAUCAGGUCAAUGCUUCAUCGUCGUGGAUUAAAAACCUCGUAUUUACUUGGUUAAAUAACAUCCACAUACGUUUCCCAGUGACAUAAAGAGGGAAAUAAAAAUAAGCACAUUAAAUCUGAGUCUGAAUCGAUUUUUAAAAAAAACUGUUGAGAUUGAAAGAGAUCCACCAUAUUAUCAAUUGUAAGACUUUAAUUCUUUAAGACUUUAAAUUCUUUACGACAGUAUUAAGACAUCUAUAAACGUUCUUCAGGGCUUCAGACUUUUUCAGAGAGGCAGCUGUUCUCAUACACUCCUCAGAGUACACUACAGCUGUACCAACCCACCACAUCCACCCCAGGAGGUUAACAGACGGCCCUACCAGGACAACCCACCACAUCCACCCCAGGAGGUUAACAGACAGCCCUACCAGGACAACCCACCACAUCCACCCCAGGAGGUUAACAGACAGCCCUACCAGGACAACCCACCACAUCCACCCCAGGAGGUUAACAGACAGCCCUACCAGGACAACCCACCACAUCCACCCCAGGAGGUUAACAGACAGCCCUACCAGGACAACCCACCACAUCCACCCCAGGAGGUUAACAGACAGCCCUACCAGGACAACCCACCACAUCCACCCCAGGAGGUUAACAGACACCAUCACAUCAACCUCUCUCUUCCCCCUGUGUAGGAAGCACUGAUCAGAACCAAGAGCUUUCAGAACCAAGAGAUACAGCAGUCUAGCUAGGGAGGCCUGUCCCGUACCACUGUAGGGGCUGGAGGUCAGGGCCCUAUACCACUGUAGGGUUAGAGGUCAGAGGUUAGGAUAGUAUGUUUAAAACCAUGGUUACUUGGUUAGAUUACAGUACUGUUCAUGUUGCUCUAAACACAGUAAAAACAGAAAAUAAAUCAUUCAGAGAAAAUAAAAAAGAAAGCGCCUGAAAUGAACUGAAAAAACGAAACAAUAAGAUGUACAGCUGUAGUUCUAACAAUAGUAUAAUAAACAAUAAACAAUAAUAAUAAUAACAACAACGUGUGUAUAGAUAUGUAGGUACUAGAGAGAGCUAUUCCAGUUAUUUCUCUUCUCCUCAGAUAGAUGAUGUUACCUGCGUCUCAAAUGGAACCCUAUUCUCUAUAGGGCACGAUCACAGCCCCUAGGGCUCGGAUCAAAAGUAGUGCACUACGUAGGGAACAAGGGUGCCAUUUGGGACUCGCAGUCCCCGUCUGGUUGAGGGCGCCUUGCUCCGGGUUUUGGCACAAGACUUAACGUCCACGGUGAGAUGAGACCAGGGGAUUGGCUGAAAAUGUAUUCCAUACGGCGAGAUGAGACGACGGGACAGAUCUGGGAGACAUGACAGGCUCCGCCCCUUACUGGUCCCCCUCCACUCGCCUCUUGCGGACUGGAGAGAAGACAGGAAGAGGACAAGGAGAAGAGGACAAGGAGGAAUUGUACAGUGAGAAACUUGAUCAAAACACAGCAAACAACAUGGUGAUCAAACAAUCCUAAAACAGUCCCGUGCUGGUCAGAAGAGACAGAGGAGUCCAACCCUAUGAUUUUAAAGUGCAUACAAGCC